rnacentral:rRNA from 1 species
AAAACUUUCAACAACGGAUCUCUUGGUUCUGGCAUCGAUGAAGAACGCAGCGAAAUGCGAUAAGUAAUGCGAAUUGCAGAAUUCAGUGAGUCAUCGAAUCUUUGAACGCACAUUGCGCCCGCCAGUAUUCUGGCGGGCAUGCCUGUUCGAGCGUCAUUUCAACCCUCAAGCACAGCUUGGUGUUGGGACUCGCGUUAAUUCGCGUUCCCCAAAUUGAUUGGCGGUCACGUCGAGCUUCCAUAGCGUAGUAGUAAAACCCUCGUUACUGGUAAUCGUCGCGGCCACGCCGUUAAACCCCAACUUCUGAAUGUUGACCUCGGAUCAGGUAGGAAUACCCGCUGAACUUAAGCAUAUCAAUAAGCGGAGGAAAAGAAACCAACAGGGAUUGCCCUAGUAACGGCGAGUGAAGCGGCAACAGCUCAAAUUUGAAAUCUGGCUCUCGGGCCCGAGUUGUAAUUUGUAGAGGAUACUUUUGAUGCGGUGCCUUCCGAGUUCCCUGGAACGGGACGCCAUAGAGGGUGAGAGCCCCGUCUGGGUUGGAUGCCAAAUCUCUGUAAAGUUCCUUCAACGAGUCGAGUAGUUUGGGAAUGCUGCUCUAAAUGGGAGGUAUAUGUCUUCUAAAGCUAAAUACCGGCCAGAGACCGAUAGCGCACAAGUAGAGUGAUCGAAAGAUGAAAAGCACUUUGAAAAGAGGGUUAAAUAGCACGUGAAAUUGUUGAAAGGGAAGCGUUUAUGACCAGACCUUUGCCUGGCGGAUCAUCCGGUGUUCUUCACCGGUGCACUUCGCCUGGCUUAGGCCAGCAUCGAUUUUCGCAGGGGGACAAAGACCGCGGGAAUGUGGCUCCCUUCGGGGAGCGUUAUAGCCCGCGGUGUAAUACCCUUGCGGGGAUCGAGGUUCGCGCUCUGCAAGGAUGCUGGCAUAAUGGUCAUCAACGACCCGUCUUGAAACACGGACC